AGGGUUGCAGCUCAGUGAUAGAGCAUUUCUUUAGCAUGUAUAAGAUCUUGGGUUCAAAUCCCAGCACCACAA
rnacentral:tRNA from 1 species